ensembl:lncRNA
GGUGAAUUUGGAAAGGUAGAGUUCUUUUACGCAGGCUAACUAAGAUUCUAAUGGUAUUGUUUUUAUUCUUUUCUCAGAUCGCAGCUGGAACAAACCUUGUCGGUUGGCAAUGUCUCCGAGGUCCUGUGCAACUUCACCAUCACUAUGCACGCCUGUUCCUCGGUACAUCUUUCUUUUUCGAUCAGCUAAGAGAGAUUCGACUUUUGCUACUUUGCCAUCCGGAGAAAUGGGUCUCUGUAAGCUCCUGGAUUCUUUGCCUAAUUUUUGGUUGUCUUUUUUUUCCCAAGGCUAAACAUCUCACACCCAGCAACUUGGCGGCACUACAGGCAUGCUCACUGGAAGGCCAAAGGACAUACCCGGUAGAGGUCUGGAAGCUUCUCUUCCAAAAGGCUUUGACUUCAUUAGACCAGGCUCUGGAAUUAUUUGCCACCACGGUAAAUCCAGUCCCACAAUUUCACAAAAUCUUUGCUUCCUUGUGGGAAUUCUGUGUAAUAACCAAGAUGACUUUUUCCAACCCCAGGCCGCCAACAACAGCUUCCCAAUAUUUCCACAUCUGCUCGAGGCCCUCGGAGAGGUUAGAAUUGCCAACUUCAGCGAGGCACAGCUGCAGAGUGUUGACUUUGUCAGCGGCUGGUUCCAGACAAAGUUGCGUCCGUUUUUGGCCUCUCCAUCCUCCAACUUCCUAUUCUGCCUGAGCUCCAAGAACUUCAGCUGCCAAACAUACCAGACUGUCAUCCAGGUAUUCAGCAGCCAAAGGCCAUCCAUGGAUGGGGAAAGACAGCGUGCAGUCUUCACUCAUUUCAUCAAACCAUUCCUGUCAAGAAAUGACUCAUCAGAUCCUGGCUGUGUCUCAUCUACCAACGGGAGCGGAGACUGGCUGCAGACAAAUAUUGGCGGCUUCUCUGAAUAUGCGACCCUGCAGGAUUUGAAAGGCCUCAAUCCCAACUUCUCAAGUGUGAGUGGAGACUGCAGUUGCUGCGUUUUCCCCCUCCCAAACGGAAAGUUCUCAGCUAUGGUUUUGGAAAUUACUGCUAUUUGAUUGCUUAAUGAUUUCUCUUCGUAGAACGAAUCGUUGUCGGCCCUCACUUCUGCUCAGUUGGCACAGCUGACACUGAGCUCAGGGGCGUCGAACGACACAGACCAAAUCGACCGUGUGUUUGGACGACUUGAGGUGGGCAAUGCUCUGGAAAAUGUGGAGGAAUUCCUGACAGAGCUGACAGCGAAAGGACAGGUACGUUACCCCUGACACUGGGGUAAGAAAGAAAAUCUGGGGGGAUUUUAACUGAACAAGGACGGUACUUAGAUCUUUUCUAAACCUUUGCAGCAGUUACAGGAGACCCAUUCACAUCACAUAUAUUGUUGCGUCCCUCCCAGUGUCCUGUUUGGUGUACUUGUUAACUGCAAGUUAAGUGUCUGCUGUUUAAGUCCUCUGGUUUUGUGAUUUGAAAGGAACCCGAUUUCCAACCUGCUGUGAGAGAUCGCGUAAUGAACAGGACCUUCCUCAUCAUCGGCCCCCAUUUCCCGCACUUUGAGACAAAGGACUGGUUUGUUUGGUUCCACGUGAAACUGGUUCCUGUCCUCGCCAGUUUCAGUGCAGUGAUGCUCGAGAAUGCAACCUCAAACAUGAACUGCUCCAACUACCAUGUUGUGUGAGUAGUGUCUUACAAACAAGCAGCACUACAGUGCACCAAAGUACAAUAAUACUGUUGAGGGUGCGCGUACGAAUGUUUUGUUUUUGCUCUUUUCAGUGUGAGCGGGCUGGCCAAAGCUUCCCCUGAAAUGCCGUUGCACAGACGACAAAAGAUCUCGGGUGUUCUGCUGGGCUACCUGAAAAGAUCUGCCAGUGUCAUCAACGAGCCAGGUAGGGUCGACAAAGUAAACUGCGCCACGUGCUCGCUUGUGUGGGCUUUUCCCAGGGCUUGACAUAUUCUUACAAAAUUGGGGUUGGGAAGAAAACUGGCACUGGAUUUGUAUCACGUUUAGCAAUAAAAAAAGAUCUCGCUAAAUGGUACCUACGCUAACCAUGAUCUACGGUCCUCAGUUUGUAGGCGGGGAAUUCAGAGUGACGCCCAAUGGAUUGCAGUAAACUUGGGUCCAUUUUCUCAAUUUACAUCAUACACUGACCUCCAAGUCUUCAACAUCACUGGGGUAAGUCGUACAUUUCCCUUCAAAUCUUCCAUGAAAAGAGCAGCGCAAAACUCAGAACGUCAAGGAGAAAAGCUUUUGUGUUUCCUCCGUUUGUGUCAUCAGGCGGCAGUUGUGGGACGUCCUCACGCCAAACCAGAAGGCUGAGCUGAUACUUGAUCCAAACAGCGGCGCUUUGCAGAAUGAGACCAUCGUACGGGAGGUGUUCAAAAGCUUGAACAAGUCCCACAAUGACGAGCAGCUCGGUCAGUUUUUCCUGGCUUUUACAGACAUCAACAAGAAGGUGAGUGCUUGAUUUUAAGAUUGCCAUGCUCUCCGAUAUAUAGUUGCCUGCCAAACAGGCCGUGUAAAAGUUGCCCUUUGCUCUGGGAAUGUUUGCAGAAGCUAAUAGG